GGUAGGAUGGCUGAGUUUAAAGCGGUGGAUUGUAGCUCCAUAGAUAGAGGUUUGAAUCCUCUUCUUAUCA
rnacentral:tRNA from 1 species